rnacentral:tRNA from 1 species
CCCUGGUGGCUCAGACGGUAAAGCGUCUGCCUAUAAUGCAGGAGACCCGGGUUUGAUCCCUGGAUCAGGAA